rnacentral:rRNA from 1 species
UACGAAGGGUGCAAGCGUUACUCGGAAUUACUGGGCGUAAAGCGUGCGUAGGUGGUUUGUUAAGUCUGUUGUGAAAGCCCCGGGCUCAACCUGGGAAUGGCAAUGGAUACUGGCAAGCUAGAGUGCGGUAGAGGGAAGUGGAAUUUCCGGUGUAGCGGUGAAAUGCGUAGAUAUCGGAAGGAACAUCAGUGGCGAAGGCGACUUCCUGGACCAAUACUGACACUCAGGUGCGAAAGCGUGGGGAGCAAACAGG